rnacentral:rRNA from 1 species
ACGAACGCUGGCGGCGUGCCUAAUACAUGCAAGUCGAACGCUUCUUUCCUCCCGAGUGCUUGCACUCAAUUGGAAAGAGGAGUGGCGGACGGGUGAGUAACACGUGGGUAACCUACCCAUCAGAGGGGGAUAACACUUGGAAACAGGUGCUAAUACCGCAUAACAGUUUAUGCCGCAUGGCAUAAGAGUGAAAGGCGCUUUCGGGUGUCGUUGAUGGAUGGACCCGUGGUGCAUUAGCUAGUUGGUGAGGUAACGGCUCACCAAGGCCACGAUGCAUAGCCGACCUGAGAGGGUGAUCGGCCACACUGGGACUGAGACACGGCCCAGACUCCUACGGGAGGCAGCAGUAGGGAAUCUUCGGCAAUGGACGAAAGUCUGACCGAGCAACGCCGCGUGAGUGAAGAAGGUUUUCGGAUCGUAAAACUCUGUUGUUAGAGAAGAACAAGGACGUUAGUAACUGAACGUCCCCUGACGGUAUCUAACCAGAAAGCCACGGCUAACUACGUG